rnacentral:sRNA from 1 species
AAUAUGCAACAUGCAUGCAAAACUAUCCUAAUCAUGCAA